rnacentral:lncRNA from 1 species
GUGAAAGAAGCUGUCAUAUUAGACCGGAAGUGACAUUCAUUUCACCGGAAGUAGCAUAUUAUCUCCUUUAUAUCACUUAAAAAUAUGAUUAAAUCAUUAUUUAUCGUAUCAGUAUGAACAACUAUCUUCUUAUCAAAAUUUCUUUGAUAUGGAAAGACCUUCAAUUGUUCUCUGAACAAUUGGUUUUUAAUUAUUUUUUUUUUUUUUUUUUUUUUUCUUCCGCCUAAUUUUGAUAUUGCGACAAAUGUUUGUUUCGCAAUAUGUCGCUUAGAUAUUUCUCAUAUUGUAUCGUACAGUUUAUGCGCUUUUACAUUUCACCCUGCUAAGCCGAACACUUUUCUUUGUAAGAGUUAUCUCCCUAUUCACUGUUUAUCAUCAGAGUGCAUCUCCUUCGUAACAAAAAAAGAUAGCGACAAAAUUCUUUUUACAAAUUGUUCGUUACAUCCUAAGGAAAAUUUGGCUAAUUUGGAUCGAAGCGAUUCGAUGAAAUUUUAUAGGAGUUAUCUACCUUUACAAAAUUAUUUUCUCAAUAUGUGUUAUUAACUAAUAAACCGUCAACCAUAUAACCCUGGAAUGUAUUUAUUUGAGAUCCCUAGGCCCUUUAUUAGAAAAUGGGGUCAAGGUCAAAGGUCAAGGUCAAGUUCUAAAUUCGGAAUUUUCCAUGUUUUUGCAUUUUCUCCAACCCUUGAAAAGGUAUAUAUUAAAGAACAAGUGCAAAAUGAUUGCUAUAUAGUUAUGAAGAUAUUUUACAUUUGGUCUGAUACAAUUAAAUAGCAUCUAAUAGGAGUUAGUGCCCCUGAAAUGUCUUGAUAUGAGGUUAUUUGAUUAUAACUUCAACUAAG